rnacentral:rRNA from 1 species
UACGGGGGGAGCAAGCGUUGUUCGGAUUUACUGGGCGUAAAGGGCGCGUAGGCGGUCAGCACAAGUCAGUUGUGAAAUCUCCGGGCUUAACUCGGAAAGGUCAACUGAUACUGUGCGACUAGAGUGCAGAAGGGGCAACUGGAAUUCUCGGUGUAGCGGUGAAAUGCGUAGAUAUCGGGAAGAACAUCGGUGGCGAAGGCGCUCUACUGGACCACAACUGACACUCAGGGACGAAAGCUAGGGGAGCGAACAGG